UACGUAGGGUGCAAGCGUUAUCCGGAAUUAUUGGGCGUAAAGAGCUCGUAGGCGGUUUGUCGCGUCUGCCGUGAAAGUCCGGGGCUCAACUCCGGAUCUGCGGUGGGUACGGGCAGACUAGAGUGCAGUAGGGGAGACUGGAAUUCCUGGUGUAGCGGUGAAAUCCGCAGAUAUCAGGAGGAACACCGAUGGCGAAGGCAGGUCUCUGGGCUGUAACUGACGCUGAGGAGCGAAAGCAUGGGGAGCGAACAGG
rnacentral:rRNA from 1 species